AAUCAACGCUGGCGGCGUGCCUCAGACAUGCAAGUCGAACGCGAAAGUUCCCCGCAAGGGAGCGAGUAGAGUGGCGCUCGGGUGAGUAACACGUAGGUAAUCUACCUUUGGGUGGGGAAUAACAGCCGGAAACGGCUGCUAAUACCGCAUAAUGCAGCGGCUCGACAUCGAGACAGUUGUUAAAGCGGGGGAAUCCUUCGGGAACCUCGCGCCUGAAGAGGAGCCUGCGGCAGAUUAGCUAGUUGGUAAGGUAAUGGCUUACCAAGGCUUCGAUCUGUAGCCGGCCUGAGAGGGCGGUCGGCCACACUGACACUUAAAUACGGGUCAGACUCCUACGGGAGGCAGCAGUCGGGAAUUUUGGGCAAUGGGCGAAAGCCUGACCCAGCAACGCCGCGUGAAGGAUGAAGUAUUUCGGUAUGUAAACUUCGAAAGAAUAGGAAGAAUAAAUGACGGUACUAUUUAUAAGGUCCGGCUAACUA
rnacentral:rRNA from 1 species